UGUAGGAGUGAGCCUGCUCGCGAUAGCGGUGUGUCAGUAACCCUAAUGUGUCUGACACACCGCUAUCGCGAGCAGGCUCACUCCUACA
rnacentral:misc_RNA from 1 species